GAUGAACGCUGGCGGCGUGCCUAAUACAUGCAAGUCGAGCGAACAGACGAGGAUCUUGCUCCUCUGACGUUAGCGGCGGACGGGUGAUUAACACGUGGAUAACCUACCUAUAAGACUGGGAUAACUUCGGGAAACCGGAGCUAAUACCGGAUAAUAUAUUGAACCGCAUGGUUCAAUAGUGAAAGACGGUUUUGCUGUCACUUAUAGAUGAAUCCGCGCCGCAUUAGCUAGUUGGUAAGGUAACGGCUUACCAAGGCAACGAUGCGUAGCCGACCUGAGCGGGUGAUCGGCCAGCUGGGAAGUGAGAAAGGGCACCGACUCCUACGGGAGGCCGCAGUAGGGAAUCUUACGCGAUGGGGGAGAGCUUGACGGAGCAAAGCGGCGGGAGUGAUGAAGGACUUCGGAUCGUAAAACGAUGUUAGUAGGGAAGAACAAAUGUGUAAGUGACUAGGAACGUCUUGACGGUACCUAAUCAGAAAGCCACGGCUAACUACGUG
rnacentral:rRNA from 1 species